rnacentral:lncRNA from 1 species
UUGGACCAUACAUGGCCAAGUUUUAAAAAGUCAUAGGUUAGGUUUGUAAUCGUUUGAUUAUCAUAUAAGACCAUGUAACAUGCAUGGCCAAGUUUUAAAAAGUCAUAGGUUAGCGUGUGAUCGUUUGAUUAUCGUAGAAGAACUUGUAACAUGCAUGACCGAGUUUAAUACUAUCACAUUCAUGUUGAAUUUGUGAUUGUUUAAUUAUCAUUGAAGACCUCAUAUCAUACUUGGUCGAGUUUAAAAUGUCAUGGAUUAGGUUUGUGAUAGUUUAAUUAUCACAAGCCCAUUGGAGACCUUAGACCACACUUGGUUGAGUUUAAAAUGUCAUAGAUUAAGUUUGUGAGCCAUAUACUUUUGAUUGUUUAAUUAUCACAUAUUUGAUUUGUGAUUGAUUAAGUUUAAUCAUCACAAGCCAUUAGAUUGGUAUGUUUAUUUAGGUUUUAUCCUAGUUUAAGAGUUAUUCCAACUCAGUCUCGAUAAGAAUCUGCUAUGAACUUUCCUUGAUUUGAGAAGAAGUUGUUACUAAUAGAUCCAUUGUGACUCAGAUUGGACGACGAAUGACAAAGUUCCCUUGAGACUAGAGUGAAUUGUUGUUUUUAGGGUUCGGUGAUCAUUGUUGAUGUAUAGUUAUCAGUUACCAUUUUGAGUAACGUUAGUCUUUACUCCUUAAGUCUUCAAUUGUCACAUCAGGUUAAAUCUUUAUUCCUUAACUGAUAUUUUCAAGUUGAAGACACUCCUUCAAACCUUGAAAAUCUCAAAUACUCUACAUUAAUCGCCAACUUUAGUUUUGAAAAGAUUUAUGUUUUAGCCUUUUCAAGGUGCAACCAAUUGAGUCCUCAAUUGCUCACCAAUGAACA